CCUACGGGAGGCAGCAGUAGGGAAUCUUCCGCAAUGGACGAAAGUCUGACGGAGCAACGCCGCGUGAGUGAUGAAGGCUUUCGGGUCGUAAAACUCUGUUGUUAGGGAAGAACAAGUGCUAGUUGAAUAAGCUGGCACCUUGACGGUACCUAACCAGAAAGCCACGGCUAACUACGUGCCAGCAGCCGCGGUAAUACGUAGGUGGCAAGCGUUAUCCGGAAUCAUUGGGCGUAAAGCGCGCGCAGGUGGUUUCUUAAGUCUGAUGUGAAAGCCCACGGCUCAACCGUGGAGGGUCAUUGGAAACUGGGAGACUUGAGUGCAGAAGAGGAAAGUGGAAUUCCAUGUGUAGCGGUGAAAUGCGUAGAGAUAUGGAGGAACACCAGUGGCGAAGGCGACUUUCUGGUCUGUAACUGACACUGAGGCGCGAAAGCGUGGGGAGCAAACAGGAUUAGAUACCCUGGUAGUCCACGCCGUAAACGAUGAGUGCUAAGUGUUAGGGGGUUUCCGCCCCUUAGUGCUGCAGCUAACGCAUUAAGCACUCCGCCUGGGGAGUACGGUCGCAAGACUGAAACUCAAAGGAAUU
rnacentral:rRNA from 1 species